rnacentral:rRNA from 1 species
AUGAUGUCCGGCGGUGGCUACUCCGCCCUCGACGAUCCCAAGGCCUCCGGAUCCGUCCCGGCGGCGACGGGGCCAGAUCCGCAGACCAUCAAGUUCACUGAGUCCAACCUCCAGACCUUCCCACCCUCAGAAGCCAAGGGCAAGAUCUCUGGCGCCUACCGCCCGCCCACUGACUCCGACGACACCUUCUCGUCCAAGGUUGGAGGGGGCGGCGGAGGCAGGGGUAGCGAUGGUGGGUCGGACGAUGCCGCGCAGGGCGGCUGGUUCCGGAUGUUCUCCGUAGCUGCCUACAAGCCCUACUUCGACGUUGACACGUCCGAUGUCGUGGAGAGGAUCUGGGAGUCGGUCUUCCCCUUCCGCGGCAACUUCACCGAGAAGACUUCCGACAAACCCGACCUGUAUGGGCCAUUCUGGACAUGCACCACCCUGAUUUUUGUUGCUGCUUCCAUUGCCACGUUUGUCACCUACCUUUCCCACAAAUGGCACAAGAAAGAGUGGACCUAUGAUAUUAACCUGGUUACAUGGUCUGCUGGCUUAUUCUAUGGCUAUGUGACAUUUGUUCCCCUUGGGUUAUAUGUCAUUCUUAAGUACUUCUCAGCACCUGCUGGACUCGUGCAAUUGUGGUGCCUGUAUGGGUACUCUUUGUUCAUCUUCAUUCCAGCCUCGCUUCUGUCAAUUGUGCCAAUAGAAAUAUUCAGAUGGGUUAUUGCUGGUGUUGCUGGGUUUAUGUCUGCUACCUUCGUCGCUGUCAAUCUCCGUGCCCACAUCUUAAACUCUGGGGAGCGGUGGUUUCUGAUCGUUGCAGGGAUAUUCUUGUUGCAGUUGGGAUUGGCUGUUUUGCUGAAACUUUAUUUCUUUACGAUAACUGUAUAG